GUUGGUGAGGUAGUUCAAAGGCUAAUUAUUUUAUUCUGUAAUUUGCCAUCCUGGCUGAAACUAACAGAACUGUUGUUGGGUUAAACAGUGCCGAAGUUGAUGAUGUUCCUUCCAAACGCCACACUGAUUCGAUCUUCACCGACAACUUUAGCCGUAUCUUGAAAAAGAUUGCAGUGAAGAAAUACAGAGAAAGUCUCAUGAAUGGCAGGAGAAGAAUCUUUGGACCACAUCCUACUUACCUACUGGACUGAAAACUACAUACAGCCUUUUUUCAACUGUUAACCAGCAGUGAAAGCUUAUCAGCAUCAAACCCCAAACCAACAUGUUGUGAAGGGAAUGAUGUGGUGACCCAUUUGGUUCCACAUAAAUGAGAGUCGAUGUUUACGCACUGUAAAUAACAUCUCUCUGCAAUGUUAGAAACCCCUGUACUCCUUAUACCUAAUAAAUUUAUUGCAAGCAGCAUGUGAAGUUCACAUUA